rnacentral:lncRNA from 1 species
UUUCAAAUUUCUUUAUUUAUUUUUAUCAUCAGAAAUGUUUUGUAAGCCAAAUCUCAUGAAGAAAAACAGUGUAAAAUUUAUUGAAAUAUGAAUUAUACAAACCUAGGAGAUGGGUACAUGGGGUUUAUUAUAAUGUUCUUAAGGCUUUUGAAUAUGUCUUAAACUUUCUGAAAAGCAUAAAAGAAGUUAAGAGUAUAACUGUCCUGUUUGAACCAGGAGAUGGACAAUCUGAGGCCAGUCUACUUCUCUACUUAGCUGCCGGUUUAUAGAAUUCCCACAAUUCCUCAGAACAAACUUCAAAAUUUCUGCCAUUGACAAAUACUUCUGAAGUUUCUAUGAUCUAAUAAUUAAGUAUAAGCAGGAAUGUUGUGCAAUCACCAUGGAAAAUACUUUACAAUUACUAUUUUGUGAAUGCUUGUGACAAUCUGACAUGAUGGGUACUAUGAACAUCCUCAUUUUGCAAAUGGAGCAACUGUGGCUUGGAGAGGGCAUGUAAUUGGCUCAAGUUCAAGUAGCUGGUAAUUGAAGGAGCUGUGAUUCAAGCCCAGGCCGCCUGACUUCACAUUAAUAACUACAUUAAUUAGAGCAGUUGAUACUCAAGUUUACUUCAACAACAAAAAUAUAACAACCCCAAAUUCAAUCCUUUAUUCAGGAUGAGGAUUUUCCAGUUAACAAGCUAUUUGCACAAGAUAAGGAGUUUGUCCGCACACAUCAACAACAGCCAGAAGGAAAAAGAUCGUAUUCCGGUUCUCACCAGAGUCCCUUCAAUGAGAUGUCAAUCAAAGUAUAUACAGGACAAUAGUUGCAUCAUACCACCGAGGAAACAGCUUUCACGUACAUACCACAUCUCCAAUCAAAGGGUGGGGUUUCAUCCUUUCUUCUUGAAUUGGACUGGACCUUUAAGUGCUUACUGAUGUUCUGGAACUUUAAGUUGAAGCAAUAUGAAAGCCUGGCACCUUAUACUUCUUCCUUCUUGGAACGUGACUGCUAAGAUGCUACAUGGACAGCUUCAUAUGGUGAAUCAAGGUGCCAAAAUGACACCACCAGCUGAUGAGCCAUCUUGGCUGAAGCCGCAUGGAGCCGAGAUGUGCUUCCCUCCUUCCUUGUCAAGGUAAC